CUUGCAUAUAGAUAAUUGAAAGUCAUGGAGAUUAAUCUUCUAUACUUGUUAUAUAUAUUGUUUAGCGGCUUUGAGAAAUUUCUUGCAGAUUUACGAUUUUUGUUAUGUAUUUGUUCAUUGAUUAUAAUUUAUAACUUUUAUCAGUGAAAUCUCAAGGUUGUGCAAAUUGUACCACUACAUGCUCUUAUCAUGAAUCACCAUUUCUAGAGUGCUGUAGCUAAGCAUUUCCAGAAUUGAGUGUUCUUUUCUUUAGCCUGUUUUGAAUUUGUACAUUAUGG
rnacentral:misc_RNA from 1 species